UGAAUACGAGACGCUACGGCGUUGAAGCAGUCUAUGUCAUACUUCCAAGAAAAGCUCGCAAUGUCUUAAACAAAUAAUGCCUGUACCAUAACCGACACAGGUGGGUAGGUAGAGUAUACUAAGGGGCGCGAGAUAACUCUCUCUAAGGAACUCGGCAAAAUGACUCCGUAACUUCGGGAGAAGGAGUGCCUUAUUUAUAAGGUUGCAAUAACAAGAUCCAAGCAACUGUUUAUCAAAAACACAGGUCUCCGCUAAGUCGUAAGACGAUGUAUGGGGGCUGACGCCUGCCCAGUGCCAGAAGGUUAAAGAAGUUGGUUAGCAUUCGCGAAGCUGAUGACUGAAGCCCUGGUGAACGGCGGCCGUAACGAUAACGGUCCUAAGGUAGCGAAAUUCCUUGUCGGGUAAGUUCCGACCCGCACGAAAGGCGUAAUGAUUUGGAUACUGUCUCGGAGAGGGGCUCGGUGAAAUAGACUUGUCUGUGAAGAUGCGGACUACCUGCACCUGGACAGAAAGACCCUAUGAAGCUUUACUGUAACUUGAAAUUGAAAUUGGACUUUAUUUGCGCAGCAUAGGUGGGAGGCGUUGAGAAUAUUCUUGCGGGAAUGUUGGAGCCAUCAGUGAGAUACCACUCUUGUAAUGUUAGAUUUCUAACUUUGUAUCAUGAUCUGGUCAAAGAACAGUUUCAGGCGGGCAGUUUGACUGGGGCGGUCGCCUCCCAAACGGUAACGGAGGCGUACAAAGGUUUCCUCUGAACGGGUAGAAAUCGUAUCUAGAGUGUAAAGGCAUAAGGAAGCUUGCCUGUGAGACCUACAAGUCGAGCAGGGACGAAAGUCGGUCUUAGUGAUCUGACGGUGCUGAGUGGAAAGGCCGUCACUCAACGGAUAAAAGUUACUCUAGGAUAACAGGCUGAUCUCCCCCAAGAGUUCACAUCGACGGGGAGGUUUGGCACCUCGAUGUCGGCUCAUCGCAUCCUGGGGCGGUAGUACGUCCCAAGGGUUGGGCUGUUCGCCCAUGAAAGCGGUACGCGAGCUGGGUUCAGAACGUCGUGAGACAGUUCGGUCCAUAUCCGGUGUAGGCGUUAGAAUAUUGAGAGGAGCCUUCUUUAGUACGAGAGGACCGAGAAGGACAUACCUCUGGUGUACCAGUUAUCGUGCCAACGGUAAACGCUGGGUAGCUAUGUAUGGAGUGGAUAACCGCUGAAAGCAUCUAAGUGGGAAGCCCACCUCAAGAUAAG
rnacentral:rRNA from 1 species